GACGAACGCUGGCGGCGCGCUUAACACAUGCAAGUCGAGCGAAGCGGCGGACGGGUGAGUAACACGUGAGUAACCUGCCUUAGACAUUGGGAUAGCCUCGGGAAACCGGGAAUAAUACCAAAUGGUCUAAGAUGGACUCGCGUCGCAGUAGCUAGUUGGUGAGGGAACGGCCCACCAAGGCGACGAUGGGUAGCCGGCCUGAGAGGGGGAACGGCCACUGUGGAACUGAGAAACGGUCCAAAAUAUACGGGAGGCAGCAGUGGGGAAUAUUGCACAAUGGAGUGAACUCUGAAGCAGCGACGCCGCGUGAACGAAGAAGGCUUUCGAGUCGUAAAGUUCUUUUAUAUGGGAAGCGGUACCAUAAGAAAAAGCACCGGCUAACUACGUGCCAGCAGCCGCGGUAAUAC
rnacentral:rRNA from 1 species